rnacentral:rRNA from 1 species
UCAAGCAUGUAAGAGCGUAGGGUGGAUGCCUUGGCACUAAGAGCCGAUGAAAGACGUGAUAAGCUGCGAUAAGCUUCGGGGAGGAGCAAAUAUCCUUUGAUCCGGAGAUUUCUGAAUGGGGAAACCCACUUGAGUAAACCUCAAGUAUCCAUACGCCAAUUCAUAACGUAUGGAAGGGAACCCGGGGAACUGAAACAUCUAAGUACCCGGAGGAAAAGAAAGAAACAUCGAUUUCCUGAGUAGCGGCGAGCGAAAGGGAAGGAGCCUAAACUGCGGUGCGUGCACUGCAGGGUUAAGGACUGCAAUAAGUUAUACUCAGAGUUACCAGAACGGUAUUGGGAAAGCCGGCCAGAGAGGGUGAAAGCCCCGUAUGGGAAAACGAAGAGGGACAAGCAGUAUCCAAAGUACCACGAGACACGAGAAACCUUGUGGGAAGUCGGGGGGACCACCCCCCAAGGCUAAAUACUCCUUAGUGACCGAUAGCGCAUAGUACUGUGAAGGAAAGGUGAAAAGGACCCCGGGAGGGGAGUGAAAGAGAACCUGAAACCCUAUGUUUACAAGCUGUGGGAGCGCGCAAGCGCAACCGCGUACUUUUUGUAGAACGGUCCGGCGAGUUGCCGGUGCUGGCAAGGUUAAGCGAUCAAGUCGUGGAGCCGCAGGGAAACCAAGCCUAAAUAGGGCCAAAGUCAGCACAGGCAGACCCGAAACCGGGUGAUCUACCCAUGUCCAGGAUGAAGCGGGAGUAAAAUCCCGUGGAGGUCCGAACGCACAUCCGUUGAAAAGGGUGGCGAUGAGGUGUGGGUAGGGGAGAAAUUCCAAUCGAACCCGGAGAUAGCUGGUUCUCCUCGAAAUAGCUUUAGGGCUAGCCUCGGUGCAAUCUGCUGGAGGUAGGGCACUGAAUUCCCGCGGGGGCGUCAAAGCCUACCAAAGGAUAUCAAACUGCGAAUGCCAGACAGAUGAUCACCGGGAGUCAGACCACACGAGAUAAGUUGGGUGGUCAAAAGGGAAAGAGCCCAGACCUGCAGCUAAGGUCCCAAAGUGCGUGUUAAGUGGAAAAGGAUGUGGGAUCUCGAAGACAACUAGGAUGUUGGCUCAGAAGCAGCCAUACAUUCAAAGAGUGCGUAAUAGCUCACUAGUCGAGAGGUCCUGCGCCGAAAAUGAACCGGGGCUAAACACGACACCGAAGCUCAGGAAUCCGAAAGGAUUGGUAGAGGAGCAUUGCUGAAGCGACGAAGCAGUACCGAAAGGAGCUGUGGAGUUUCAGGAAGAGAGAAUGCCGGAAUGAGUAGCGAGAGAAAGGUGAGAAUCCUUUCGGCCGAAUAUCCAAGGUUUCCAGGGUAAAGCUGAUCUGCCCUGGGUAAGUCGGGGCCUAAGGCGAGGCAGAAAUGCGUAGUCGAUGGACAGCAGGUUGAGAUUCCUGCACCCGUAAUGAACAGAACUGUAGUGACACGGAAGGUAAGACAGAGCCGGGAAUGAGAAAACCGGUGCAAGCACAAUAGAUGUGCGGGAGGAAAAUCCCCCGCAUAAGUCGAAGGUGUGAUGCGGACCGAAAAAGAGUAGGGAAGCUGUUAAGCAAGCCGUCAAGAAAAGCUGCUAUUGUUUCAUUAUGGCCCGUACCGUAAACCGACACAGGUGGAUGGGGAGAGAAUCCUAAGGCCGGCGGAAGAAGUAUUGUUAAGGAACUCGGCAAAAUGACCCCGUAACUUCGGGAGAAGGGGUGCCUGCGAGAGCAGGCCGCAGAGAAGAGGCCCAAGCAACUGUUUAGCAAAAACACAGGUCUAUGCAAAACCGAAAGGUGAGGUAUAUGGGCUGACGCCUGCCCGGUGCUGGAAGGUUAAGGGGAGUGGUCAGGAAACGAAGCCACGAACUUAAGCCCCAGUAAACGGCGGCCGUAACUAUAACGGUCCUAAGGUAGCGAAAUUCCUUGUCGGGUAAGUUCCGACCCGCACGAAAGGCGUAAUGAUUUGGGCGCUGUCUCGACAAUACAUCCGGUGAAAUUGAAGUGCCAGUGAAGAUGCUGGCUACCUGCGCCAGGACGGAAAGACCCCAUGGAGCUUUACUCCAGCUUGAUACUGGGACCCGGUAUUGCAUGUACAGGAUAGGUGGGAGGCUAGGAAAUGUGGACGCCAGUCUGCAUGGAGCCGCUGUUGGGAUACCACCCUUGUGGUGCUGGGUUUCUAACCAGAGGCCGUGAACCGGUCUGGGGACAAUGUCAGGUGGGGAGUUUGACUGGGGCGGUCGCCUCCGAAAGGGUAUCGGAGGCGCCCAAAGGUUCCCUCAGAAUGGUUGGAAACCAUUCGAAGAGUGCAAAGGCAGAAGGGAGCUUGACUGCGACACCGACGGGUGGAGCAGGUACGAAAGUAGGACUUAGUGAUCCGGUGGUAUAAAGUGGG